GGAGCUCUCCCAUAUGGUCGACCUGCAGGCGGCCGCGAAUUCACUAGUGAUUCGUAUUACCGCGGCUGCUGGCACAGAGUUAGCCGGUGCUUAUUCUGUCGGUAACGUCAAAACACUAACGUAUUAGGUUAAUGCCCUUCCUCCCAACUUAAAGUGCUUUACAAUCCGAAGACCUUCUUCACACACGCGGCAUGGCUGGAUCAGGCUUUCGCCCAUUGUCCAAUAUUCCCCACUGCUGCCUCCCGUAGGAGUCUGGACCGUGUCUCAGUUCCAGUGUGACUGAUCAUCCUCUCAGACCAGUUACGGAUCGUCGCCUUGGUGAGCCAUUACCUCACCAACUAGCUAAUCCGACCUAGGCUCAUCUGAUAGCGCAAGGCCCGAAGGUCCCCUGCUUUCUCCCGUAGGACGUAUGCGGUAUUAGCGUCCGUUUCCGAGCGUUAUCCCCCACUACCAGGCAGAUUCCUAGGCAUUACUCACCCGUCCGCCGCUCUCAAGAGGUGCAAGCACCUCUCUACCGCUCGACUUGCAUGUGUUAGGCCUGCCGCCAGCGUUCAAUCUGAGCCAUGAUCAAACUCUAAUCGAAUUCCCGCGGCCG
rnacentral:rRNA from 1 species